CACUAGGAAGCUUGCAAGUAGCACUAGCCUUUUAAACUAGAAAAGGGACACACCAUUCCCCCUAAUGA
rnacentral:tRNA from 1 species